rnacentral:ncRNA from 2 species
UCAAAUGCAUUGAAGAGAAUAGUAAAUAAAAUGAAUUUUUCACAGAGAGCUCCAUUUAGCUGAAAAGGAGUAAAAAUUCUUUAUUGAAUCAAGCCUCUGAGCAGUACACCGGAACCUGUUAUGAAGGGGGUGGUGUGACGGGAGCUCCCGUUAUAGAGCUAUGGUAUAAGCAUGAAUGAGAAUGCAGUACCUGAUAAGGUUAGUAUGGUGACAUAUUAACAAACUAGGGUGGCACCGCGAUGAUAAUCUCGUCCCUAAG